rnacentral:rRNA from 1 species
GACGAACGCUGGCGGCGUGCUUAACACAUGCAAGUCGAACGGAAAGGCCCUGCUUUUGUGGGGUGCUCGAGUGGCGAACGGGUGAGUAACACGUGAGUAACCUGCCCUUGACUUUGGGAUAACUUCAGGAAACUGGGGCUAAUACCGGAUAGGAGCUCCUGCUGCAUGGUGGGGGUUGGAAAGUUUCGGCGGUUGGGGAUGGACUCGCGGCUUAUCAGCUUGUUGGUGGGGUAGUGGCUUACCAAGGCUUUGACGGGUAGCCGGCCUGAGAGGGUGACCGGCCACAUUGGGACUGAGAUACGGCCCAGACUCCUACGGGAGGCAGCAGUGGGGAAUAUUGCACAAUGGGCGGAAGCCUGAUGCAGCAACGCCGCGUGCGGGAUGACGGCCUUCGGGUUGUAAACCGCUUUCGCCUGUGACGAAGCGUGAGUGACGGUAAUGGGUAAAGAAGCACCGGCUAACUACGUGCCAGCAGCCGCGGUGAUACGUAGGGUGCGAGCGUUGUCCGGAUUUAUUGGGCGUAAAGGGCUCGUAGGUGGUUGAUCGCGUCGGAAGUGUAAUCUUGGGGCUUAACCCUGAGCGUGCUUUCGAUGCGGGUUGACUUGAGGAAGGUAGGGGAGAAUGGAAUUCCUGGUGGAGCGGUGGAAUGCGCAGAUAUCAGGAGGAACACCAGUGGCGAAGGCGGUUCUCUGGGCCUUUCCUGACGCUGAGGAGCGAAAGCGUGGGGAGCGAACAGGCUUAGAUACCCUGGUAGUCCACGCUGUAAACGGUGGGUACUAGGUGUGGGGUCCAUUCCACGGGUUCCGUGCCGUAGCUAACGCUUUAAGUACCCCGCCUGGGGAGUACGGCCGCAAGGCUAAAACUCAAAGGAAUUGACGGGGCCCCGCACAAGCGGCGGAGCAUGCGGAUUAAUUCGAUGCAACGCGUAGAACCUUACCUGGGUUUGACAUGGAUCGGGAGUGCUCAGAGAUGGGUGUGCCUCUUUUGGGGUCGGUUCACAGGUGGUGCAUGGCUGUCGUCAGCUCGUGUCGUGAGAUGUUGGGUUAAGUCCCGCAACGAGCGCAACCCUUGUUCACUGUUGCCAGCACGUUAUGGUGGGGACUCAGUGGAGACCGCCGGGGUCAACUCGGAGGAAGGUGGGGAUGACGUCAAGUCAUCAUGCCCCUUAUGUCCAGGGCUUCACGCAUGCUACAAUGGCUGGUACAGAGAGUGGCGAGCCUGUGAGGGUGAGCGAAUCUCGGAAAGCCGGUCUCAGUUCGGAUUGGGGUCUGCAACUCGACCUCAUGAAGUCGGAGUCGCUAGUAAUCGCAGAUCAGCAACGCUGCGGUGAAUACGUUCCCGGG